UCUAUGAUACUUGACCUUUGUGUACGACAACCAACCAAGGAUUGAACUGAUUUGAUAGAAUGGAGUCUGACAGUCUCCCAUUUUCUGUCACUCUCUCUGAUGACAUCACUCCACCGUUGUCCCCUGUCUUACAAGGAGAGGAUCAACCUCAGAAAAGAAUGAAACUCAGCCAGGAUAUCGAUAUUCCCUGGGCACCUCCAAGGUUUGAAUGCUGUCGUCAUAGAAGCUCCUCGUCGUGGUCACCUGAAAACAACAGUUUCCUUGGAUCAAGAACACUUAGCAGGCUCUUGGAGGGUAGUCUGGUAGUGGUAGACCAGCAUGAGGGAUUGACGACUCAGCUGUUUGGAUGUUGUUAUGUUACCAGUACAGCUCUUCUUGACCAAAUAUCACAUCUCUUCUCAACAU